rnacentral:rRNA from 1 species
UACAGAGGUCCCAAGCGUUGUUCGGAUUCACUGGGCGUAAAGGGUGCGUAGGCGGUCGGGUAAGUCUGAUGUGAAAUCUCCAAGCCUAACUUGGAAACUGCAUUGGAUACUAUCCGGCUCGAGGAAUGGAGGGGAGACUGGAAUACUUGGUGUAGCAGUGAAAUGCGUAGAUAUCAAGUGGAACACCAGUGGCGAAGGCGGGUCUCUGGACAUUUCCUGACGCUGAGGCACGAAAGCCAGGGAAGCAAACGGG